UACGGAGGGUGCAAGCGUUAUCCGGAUUCACUGGGUUUAAAGGGUGCGUAGGUGGAAUGGUAAGUCAGUGGUGAAAUCUCCAAGCUUAACUUGGAAACUGCCGUUGAUACUAUCAUUCUUGAAUAUCGUGGAGGUAAGCGGAAUAUGUCAUGUAGCGGUGAAAUGCUUAGAUAUGACAUAGAACACCGAUUGCGAAGGCAGCUUGCUACACGAUCAUUGACACUGAGGCACGAAAGCGUGGGUAGCAAACAGG
rnacentral:rRNA from 1 species